rnacentral:rRNA from 1 species
GACGAACGCUGGCGGCGUGCUUAACACAUGCAAGUCGAACGGAAAGGCCCUGCUUUUGUGGGGUGCUCGAGUGGCGAACGGGUGAGUAACACGUGAGUAACCUGCCCUUGACUUUGGGAUAACUUCAGGAAACUGGGGCUAAUACCGGAUAGGAGCUCCUGCUGCAUGGUGGGGGUUGGAAAGUUUCGGCGGUUGGGGAUGGACUCGCGGCUUAUCAGCUUGUUGGUGGGGUAGUGGCUUACCGAGGCUUUGACGGGUAGCCGGCCUGAGAGGGUGACCGGCCACAUUGGGACUGAGAUACGGCCCAGACUCCUACGGGAGGCAGCAGUGGGGAAUAUUGCACAAUGGGCGGAAGCCUGAUGCAGCAACGCCGCGUGCGGGAUGACGGCCUUCGGGUUGUAAACCGCUUUCGCCUGUGACGAAGCGUGAGUGACGGUAAUGGGUAAAGAAGCACCGGCUAACUACGUGCCAGCAGCCGCGGUGAUACGUAGGGUGCGAGCGUUGUCCGGAUUUAUUGGGCGUAAAGGGCUCGUAGGUGGUUGAUCGCGUCGGAAGUGUAAUCUUGGGGCUUAACCCUGAGCGUGCUUUCGAUACGGGUUGACUUGAGGAAGGUAGGGGAGAAUGGAAUUCCUGGUGGAGCGGUGGAAUGCGCAGAUAUCAGGAGGAACACCAGUGGCGAAGGCGGUUCUCUGGGCCUUUCCUGACGCUGAUGAGCGAAAGCGUGGGGAGCGAACAGGCUUAGAUACCCUGGUAGUCCACGCUGUAAACGGUGGGUACUAGGUGUGGGGUCCAUUCCACGGGUUCCGUGCCGUAGCUAACGCUUUAAGUACCCCGCCUGGGGAGUACGGCCGCAAGGCUAAAACUCAAAGGAAUUGACGGGGCCCCGCACAAGCGGCGGAGCAUGCGGAUUAAUUCGAUGCAACGCGUAGAACCUUACCUGGGUUUGACAUGGAUCGGGAGCGCUCAGAGAUGGGUGUGCCUCUUUUGGGGUCGGUUCACAGGUGGUGCAUGGCUGUCGUCAGCUCGUGUCGUGAGAUGUUGGGUUAAGUCCCGCAACGAGCGCAACCCUUGUUCACUGUUGCCAGCACGUUAUGGUGGGGACUCAGUGGAGACCGCCGGGGUCAACUCGGAGGAAGGUGGGGAUGACGUCAAGUCAUCAUGCCCUUAUGUCCAGGGCUUCACGCAUGCUACAAUGGCUGGUACAGAGAGUGGCGAGCCUGUGAGGGUGAGCGAAUCUCGGAAAGCCGGUCUCAGUUCGGAUUGGGGUCUGCAACUCGACCUCAUGAAGUCGGAGUCGCUAGUAAUCGCAGAUCAGCAACGCUGCGGUGAAUACGUUCCCGGG